GGAUUUGUAGCUACUACUGCACCUUAGCCGUUUCAUUUCUUCUACACUAGCAGGAUUCAAUGUGUGAGAAAAUGGAGAAACUCACCUUCUGUUGUGUGUUGCUUCUCUCUUUUGGGGCGAUAUCUCGCGCCAGAUUUCUCGACGAUCGUUUCCCUCUGCCGAUAUCUACUUGGACUUUUCCCUCCGUUCAUGCCGAGAAGCUGAUUCGGAAGCUUAACCUCUUCCCGGAGAAGGAUGUCAACAUCGUACGCGACGGCGAUGCUUCUCUUCUUGACGGAAGGAAGAGGAUCGUCGAGAAACGGUUUAGGUUUCCGAAUGUCGUU
rnacentral:misc_RNA from 1 species